rnacentral:rRNA from 1 species
AACGCGAAGAACCUUACCUGGGCUUGACAUGCACUGUGUCACUGGUGAAAGCCAGUUAGCGUAGCAAUACGCGCUUUGCACAGGUGCUGCAUGGCUGUCGUCAGCUCGUGUCGUGAGAUGUUGGGUUAAGUCCCGCAACGAGCGCAACCCUUGUAGAUUGUUGCCACCGGAGAAAUCCGCGCACUCAAGCUAGACUGCCCAGUUUAACUGGGAGGAAGGUGGGGACGACGUCAAGUCCGUAUGGCCCUUACGCCCAGGGCUGCACACGUACUACAAUGCUCAGUACAAUGGGAACCGAUGCCGCGAGGUGGAGGGAAUCCUCAAAACUGGGCUCAGUUCAGAUUGCAGGCUGCAACUCGCCUGCAUGAAGUUGGAAUCGCUAGUAAUGGUACAUCAGCUACGGUACCGUGAAUACGUUCCCGGGCCUUGUACACACCGACGCGUA